rnacentral:tRNA from 1 species
AUUCAAAUAGCUUAUUUAAAGAGCGUGACAUUGAAGAUGUUAAGGAGAUCUUGUUGAUCUUUGAAUA